CACCUCAACAUCUGUACUCUGACAUAUUUAACAGUUAAUUGUUUAAUCAGAUCAGGUACCAGGUCACUCACAGGUAAGGACCAGGUCACUCACAGGUAAGGACCAGGUCCUCACAGGUAAGGACAGGUCACUCACAGGUAAGGACCAGGUCACUCACAGGUAGGACCAGGUCACUCACAGGUAAGGACCAGGUCACUCACAGGUAAGGACCAGGUCACACACAGGUAGGACCAGGUCACUCACAGGUAAGGACCAGGUCACUCACAGGUUAGGACCAGGUCACACACGGUAAGGACCAGGUCACUCACAGGUAAGGACCAGGUC